GGCUACGUAGCUCAGUUGGUUAGAGCACAUCACUUCAUAAUGAUGGGGUCACAGGUUCGAAUCCCGUCGUAGCCACCA
rnacentral:tRNA from 1 species